GUAACACGGUACGGGGAACCUCGCCCCAUAGUCUGGGAUACCACUUGGAAACAGGUGCUAAUACCGGAUAAGAAAGCAGAUCGCAUGAUCAGUCUUUUAAAAAGGCGGCGUAAGCUGUCGCUAGUGGGAUCGGCCCCGCGGUGCAUUAGCUAGUUGGUAAGGUAAAGGCUUACCAAGGCGAUGAUGCAUAGCCGAGUUGAGAGACUGAUCGGCCACAUUGGGACUGAGACACGGCCCAAACUCCUACGGGAGGCAGCAGGUAGGGAAUCUUCCACAAUGGACGCAAGUCUGAUGGAGCAACGCCGCGUGAGUGAAGUAAGGUUUUCGGAUACGUAAAGCUCUGUUGUUGGUGAAGAAGGAUAGAGGUAGUAACUGGUCCUUUAUUUGACGGUAAUCAACCAGAAAGUCACGGCUAACUACGUGCC
rnacentral:rRNA from 1 species